UACGUAGGGUGCGAGCGUUAUUCGGAAUUAUUGGGCGUAAAGGGCGCGUAGGCGGCUUUCUAAGUCAAAGGUGAAAUCCCUCGGCUCAACUGAGGAACUGCCUUUGAAACUGGACGGCUUGAGGCCGGGAGAGGGUAGCGGAAUUCCCAGUGUAGCGGUGAAAUGCGUAGAUACUGGGAGGAACACCGGUGGCGAAGGCGGCUACCUGGACCGGUUCUGACGCUGAGGCGCGAAAGCGUGGGUAGCAAACAGG
rnacentral:rRNA from 1 species